ensembl:processed_transcript Gas5 growth arrest specific 5
GAGGGCGUGUGAGGGGCGGGGUUUAAGUGGACGCAGCAAGCAGCUUUGCGUCUUGACGUCACGAAGACCUUAUAUACUCGACUCAGCCGCCAUCUCAGCCUUUCGGAGCUGUGCGGCAUUCUGAGCAGGAAUGGCAAUGUGGACCUCUGUGAUGGGACAUCUUGUGGGAUCUCACAGCCAGUUCUGUGGCAAAGGAGGAUGAAGGUUUAUGAGGACUCGUCAGGAAGCUGGAUAACAGAACGAGCGCAAUGUGCUAGAAGACCAGAAAAUGAAAUGGUGGAGUUUGAGGCUGGAUAGACAGUUUGAAAGGUACAAAUGAUGGUUUGAAUAAAGGUAUAACGCACGGGUCGCCUCAAGUGAAGGCACUGCAAACAAAAUGAUUGGUCAUUCUGAAUUUCCGGUCCUUCAUUCUGAAUUUCAAAGGCUCCUGUGACAAGUGGACAUGCAGUGACUGUACCUUUGUUUCUGAGGUGCCUGGAUGGAGGCUCAAAUAGAAGAUGGUGUCAGAUAUAUUGUGUUGUCAAAAUUUUACCAUUAAAGUGUAUUAUAACAUG